rnacentral:misc_RNA from 1 species
AAGUCGUAACAAGGUUUCCGUAGGUGAACCUGCGGAAGGAUCAUUAACACGCGUAAUCUCUAACGAUUACAAACCAAACUCGUGAACUAGUAUUUAAUUACAGACCGCGUUUAGUAGGCCGCUUUGGUCUUGUAAGGAGUGUGUCGAUUGCUGUGACUCCUUAUGAGCUAGAGUGCUAUGGACUAUUAGGCGCGGUAUAUAAGUCAAAAAUAAACUCACUCAGUAGUCAACUACCUUUAACCCCUUAUUGAACUAAUAAUUGACUGAUCUUCAUAGUCUUUGGCCGAAAGGUCUUGGGCUACACUGAAUCGUAAUCUACGAAACAGUAAAGUACAACUCUAAGCAGUGGAUAUCUUGGUUCCCAU